rnacentral:rRNA from 1 species
GAUGAACGCUGGCGGCGUGCCUAAUACAUGCAAGUUGAACGCUGAAGGUGGGGACUUCUACUCAGUGGAUGAGCCGCAAACGGGUGUGUCACGCGGGGGGACUCUGCCGUAGCGGGGGGGAAAACUUUUGGAAGCGAAUUCUAAUACCACAUCAACACUUAAAACAUGAUAAUUAAGUUAGAAAGAUACCAUUUCAUCAACCAAAUGUACUUCCGCGUUGUAUUAGCUAGUUGGUGAGGUAAAGGCUCACCAAGGCGAUGAUACAUAGCCGACCUGAGAGGGUGAUCGGCCACACUGGGACUGAGACACGGCCCAGACUCCUACGGGAGGCAGCAGUAGGGAAUCUUCGGCAAUGGACGAAAGUCUGACCGAGCAACGCCGCGUGAGUGAAGAAGGUUUUCGGAUCGUAAAGCUCUGUUGGUAGAGAAGAACGUGGGUGAGAGUGGAAAGUUCACACAGUGACGGUAACUUACCAGAAAGGGACGGCUAACUACGUG